GACGAACGCUGGCGGCGUGCUUAACACAUGCAAGUCGAACGAGUGGCGAACGGGUGAGUAACACGUGGGUGAUCUGCCUUGCACUUCGGGAUAAGCUUGGGAAACUGGGUCUAAUACCGGAUAUUGCAAGAUGAGCUCGCGGCCUAUCAGCUUGUUGGUGGGGUAAUGCCUACCAAGGCGCGACGGGUAGCCGGCCGGAGAGGGUGUACGGGCACAUUGGGAUGGAGAUCAGGCCCAGACUCCUACGGGAGGCAGCAGUGGGGAAUAUUGGACAAUGGGCGGAAGCCUGAUGCAGCCAUGCCGCGUGUGUGAAGAAGGCCUUCGGGUUGUAAAGCACUUUCAGCGGGGAGGCGUUACCAACAGAAGAAGCACCGGCUAACUCCGUGCCAGCAGCCGCGGUAAUUC
rnacentral:rRNA from 1 species